rnacentral:rRNA from 1 species
GAAAUACCACAUCUAGAAGAACAUUUACUCCGCAAUUUGGACAGAAAUGGAGUUGUUAGGUUGGGAUUCUGGGUAGAAACUGGUGAUAUUUUAGUAGGUAAAUUAACGCCUCAGAUAGCGAGCGAAUCAUCUUAUAUCACAGAAGCUGGAUUAUUACGGGCCAUAUUUGGCCUUGAGGUUUCCACUUCAAAAGAAACUUCUCUGAAAUUACCUAUAGGUGGAAGAGGGUGCGUUAUCGAUGUGAAAUGGAUCCAAAGGGACCCAAUCGACAUAAUGGUUCGUGUAUAUAUUUUAUAG